rnacentral:rRNA from 1 species
GAUGAACGCUGGCGGCGUGCCUCAAACAUGCAAGUCGAGCGAGGCUAUGAAUUACCGCAAGGUAAGGCAUAGCCUAGCGGCGAACGGGUGAGUAACACGUGGGUAACCUACCUGGAAGACAGGGAUAACGAUUCGAAAGGGUCGCUAAUACCUGAUAAUAUCCAUCUGCCGGAUGGCGGAGGGAAGAAAGGGGAAACCCGCUUUCAGAUGGGCCCGCGUCCCAUCAGCUAGUUGGUAAGGUAAAGGCUUACCAAGGCGACGACGGGUAGCCGGUCUGAGAGGAUGUACGGCCACACUGGGACUGAGAUACGGCCCAGACUCCUACGGGAGGCAGCAGUUGGGAAUCUUAGGCAAUGGACGAAAGUCUGACCUAGCGACGCCGCGUGAGGGAAGAAGGCCUUCGGGUUGUAAACCUCUGUCAUGGGGGAAGAAGGAAGUGACGGUACCCCAAGAGGAAGCCCCUGCUAACUACGUGCCAGCAGCCGCGGUAAAUAGUGUGUGUA